rnacentral:rRNA from 1 species
GACGAACGCUGGCGGCGUGCUUAACACAUGCAAGUCGAACGAAGUGGCGAACGGGUGAGUAACGCGUAAUCAACCUGCCCUUCAGAGGGGGAUAACGACGGGAAACUGUCGCUAAUACCGCGUACCAUAGGAUGAGCCCAAGUGGGAUUAGGUAGUUGGUGGGGUAAUGGCCUACCAAGCCGACGAGCUCUAGCUGGUCUGAGAGGAUGAACGGCCACAUUGGGACUGAGACACGGCCCAGACUCCUACGGGAGGCAGCAGUGGGGAAUCUUCCGCAAUGGACGAAAGUCUGACGGAGCAACGCCGCGUGAGUGAUGACGGCCUUCGGGUUGUAAAGCUCUGUUAAUCGGGACGCGGUACCGGAAUAGAAAGCCACGGCUAACUACGUGCCAGCAGCCGCGGUAAUUC